CCUACGGGAGGCAGCAGUGAGGAAUAUUGGUCAAUGGGCGAGAGCCUGAACCAGCCAAGUCGCGUGAAGGAUGACGGCCCUACGGGUUGUAAACUUCUUUUGUCAGGGAGCAAUUGAGUCCACGUGUGGGCUUAGCGAGAGUACCUGAAGAAAAAGCAUCGGCUAACUCCGUGCCAGCAGCCGCGGUAAUACGGAGGAUGCGAGCGUUAUCCGGAUUUAUUGGGUUUAAAGGGUGCGUAGGCGGACGCUUAAGUCAGCGGUAAAAUUGCGGGGCUCAACCUCGUCGAGCCGUUGAAACUGGGUGCCUUGAGUGGGCGAGAAGUACGCGGAAUGUAUGGUGUAGCGGUGAAAUGCUUAGAGAUCAUACAGAACACCGAUUGCGAAGGCAGCUUACCAAGCUACUUCUGACGUUGAGGCACGAAAGCGUGGGGAGCAAACAGGAUUAGAUACCCCAGUAGUC
rnacentral:rRNA from 1 species